rnacentral:rRNA from 1 species
UACGUAGGGGGCUAGCGUUAUCCGGAAUUACUGGGCGUAAAGGGUGCGUAGGUGGUUUCUUAAGACAGAGGUGAAAGGCUACGGCUCAACCGUAGUAAGCCUUUGAAACUGGGGAACUUGAGUGCAGGAGAGGAGAGUGGAAUUCCUAGUGUAGCGGUGAAAUGCGUAGAUAUUAGGAGGAACACCAGUUGCGAAGGCGGCUCUCUGGACUGUAACUGACACUGAGGCACGAAAGCGUGGGGAGCAAACAGG